GUUUAAAGCUCUUUUUUUCUCUCUCUCACACUCCACACGGAUUACUCAGCUGAGCAGAUCUUAAUUAACUCCUCUCUCUCUCUCUCCCCCUCACGGAGGAAGAAAGGCAAAAUCCGAAAUACAUACCCACGCCCACACGCUCUCGUUGUUAUUCUUUUUUGGAACGCUAUCUUGCAAAUUAUGGGAAAGUUUAGUAAGUGCAAUUUAAGUUCUUGGAAUCGCGAAUUUUCGUGUUCAUUUGCUGCCAAGCCUUUUAAUUAUGCUCACAGAAGAGGAUUUUCCUAUUUAAGCGAAUAUAAGUGGAGUGAACAUUGACUGAUGACCAAGGAGAUGAAUUUGAGGACGUGCUACAUGUGUUGACUUUAGAAAGAACCCAUAUUAAAGAAACUAUGGGUUUUUCCUUGGAUAAUACUGAUACGGCUAGAGAGCGGAUGGAGGUGGUGUUGCAGGCAAAAGAUGCACUGGAAUCGGCUUAUAGAGGAGAAGGCGCUGUCAAGUCAAUCUGGUUCUUGUUUAUUUCAAAAAAUCUCAUGAUUUUGUGGUCAACAUCUCUGAAGAAAUUCUGAAGGUUAAAAAAGAUAUUAAAAAUGAGUUUUCUGGUGUUGAUCCAAGCUGGGGUCAUGGGGAAAGCAAUUUUAUAGAAAUUGGUGGAGGCCAUUAAUUCGUCCUUUUUUCCUCGUUGCAUCCUUUGAUGAUAAAUAAUAGGCUAUGAUUUGCUUUUUAUAAGUUCCAAAUCAGGCUCAAGGUCGUUAUUCUGAAACAUAUAAUCGUAACUGGCGAAAUCGGCCUGCACAAUUUCUUGUUACUAGAGGGAGAUCCUGGGAAGCUAUUCGAGACAGAGACUUUGGUGGACGGUUUGUUUCUAGGCAACAAGAAGUAAACCAAUACAAUAGGCAAGAGCAACUAAGCUUGCAGUUUGCAAGAUCUCAAAGCCAUGGGGUAAUUAAAGAUAAUCCUUGAUACUGGUGUUUUCCUGCACUUAAUCUUUGUUUUUGAGUGCCUGUGUGAACUAAAAGCAUGUUGGACACAUGUUUAUAAUGGUUUAAAUUAUAAAUAGAUAGAAAUAAGUGGUGGAUAAAUGGAUAGUGGUUGUGUGUACCUCGAAAUAUGUGGAUAAUGAGUGCGAGGGUUUGUAAACAGUUUAUAUACAUAAGCUAAACAUAGGCUUAAGUACCUGAUUCAAAUCAACAAGCUAUCCUAUCAUUUUCUUUUGUAAAAUAUAGGGAAAAAAAGUUAGUAAAGUUCCAUGAAAUCUUGUAUAUACUAUUUGUUAUAUCAAAAGAUACUGUUUUAUUACAAUUCAA